rnacentral:rRNA from 1 species
AACGAACGCUGGCGGCAGGCUUAACACAUGCAAGUCGAGCGCCCCGCAAGGGGAGCGGCCGACGGGUGAGUAACGCGUGGGAACGUGCCCUUUGGUUCGGAACAACUCCGGGAAACUGGAGCUAAUACCGGAUAAGCCCUCCGGGGGAAAGAUUUAUCGCCAAAGGAUCGGCCCGCGUCUGAUUAGCUAGUUGGUGAGGUAAUGGCUCACCAAGGCGAGGAUCAGUAGCUGGUCUGAGAGGAUGAUCAGCCACACUGGGACUGAGACACGGCCCAGACUCCUACGGGAGGCAGCAGUGGGGAAUAUUGGGCAAUGGGCGCAAGCCUGAUCCAGCCAUGCCGCGUGAGUGAUGAAGGCCUUAGGGUUGUAAAGCUCUUUUGUCCGGGAAGAUAAUGACUGUACCGGAAGAAUAAGCCCCGGCUAACUUCGUGCCAGCCGCCGCGGUAAUAC